rnacentral:lncRNA from 1 species
UCUAGGCUUUUGUCCCAUCAUGUGUGCAAUGUUCACAGAAGGAGAGCUUCUCUUUCCAGGUGAUGUCAUUGGCCCAGCCUGAGUCAUGUGACCAUUUCUGAACCAAUCACUGUAACCAAUGGAAUGGGUUAUGCUAAUUGGCCUGGCCAGGUCGCAUGCCAACCCCUGGAACUACUGAUGGCAUCAAGACUUCUUGGAACCACAUGGACUAAACGUGAAGACUGGGUAAGCUGUCAAAGCAAAAUUGGCAUGCCACUAUCAGAAGAAAGGAAAACGGAUACUAAAUUGGUUAAAAUCAACCUAAAUCAAAAAACCCCACCCAGAGGUCUUGAUUCUGGGUUCAGAAAUCUUGGUUCUCAGGCUCCCAGCAUGUCUCAUUAAGAUGAGUUGGCCAACUUGGAUCAGAGAGAGGGGACAAAUGGUCACCUUAGGACUAAACAAAAUUUUCAAAGAAACUGUCUUUGCAGGCGCUGAUCUCGCAGGUUCAAAGCUGAAGUGGAAAUUCAGUCUUUGUUGGAUACUGCAAACCCCAGCCUGCAGGCUUUGUUCCCAGCAGUCUCCUGACUCUCCUGGGUGGUGGCGGAUGGGGCCUGAUAUUGAUGUUAAAGGACACGGAGGUGCUGAACACGGCCAUUCUCACCGGAAAGGCUGUUUCGGUUCCCGUCAAGGUCGUGGGUGUUCAAGAGGACGGUUCUGUGGUCGACGUGUCGGAGUCUGUGGAAUGCAGGUCUGCGGACGAAGACGUCAUCAAGCCCAGCUGUGCCCAGCCCAGGCUCUGCCGCUGUCGCCUGAGGGAGACCAGCAACACCGCCAAGGACUACCGGCUUCAGAAAUACUUUGGAAAAAUCCUCUGUGUAGACACUUCUUUUGAAACAAACAAUUCAAUCUACGACUUUAAAUCAACUGUGGAAAACAUCAAAACAAACUGUUAGUAGAAAUAUUCCUUUUAUGGCUUCUUUACACUUUCUAGCCGUGGGGUCAAGAAUAAUUCCACGACUUUCUUAUCUUUAUCCCUCAUAAUUCCUGGUAAAGAGGUUUCCUUUAAGAUCUUGCUGCACUGGAAUGAUGAUGAAGAGCGAGUUCCUUAUCUGUAAUAUGGAAGAAUGCUUCAUGUUUGUAUGACCAACUCUUUUGAGAUCCAGCAUUAAUAUCAGAUUAGUUUAGUCAAUUAAUUUUAUAUCUUGAUAUGAAACAGUAAUAUUUUAUUACUUGAGCUGGUUUUGAAACAGAUUUUGAUAAAUAGAGUCCAGGCUAUGAGAUCACACCUAUGGGCUUUAUAAUUCAGUUUUAUGUUUCCCUUUCUCAUCUUUGAGCCAUCUGUGUUCUGAUCACCUUCAAUUACACUAGCCAAGAUUCCAUCUGAAAAGGGAGAGAGAUUAAGACAGCUGACUUUAACCACAGUCAGGUGACCUAUGCAGGGCUUCCGUGGGAGAGUGUUCAUAUUAUACCCUAAUCAACACCAGGAAACAUCCUUAUAUGAUCCUGUGUGUAAACAGUGUCUUCUUAUUUGAACAGUGCACAACCUGUACAACUGUCUGUGGUUGCUUUCGAACACCUCAAUUUCAGGCCCUUCCUCAUCAUGCUCUUGUUAUUUUGUCAACUAUAAGGCCCCCAGGCAUCAAAUCCACAAGUGGUUACUGAGAACCUGCCUUGUAAUUGUCCCUGAGCUGGGACCUAGUGACACAGCCAUGAAUACAACAUUGCCUCUAACUUCAAAGACUCUCAGUCUGCUGGAAGAGUUGGACUAGUAAACAGGAAUUUUCUAGAAAUUAUGGCAACGGAAUAGUACACUGGGAGCUUAACUUAAGGCACCAAGAAAGGAGAGAGAACAGAUUCCUCAGCGAGCUUCGAGACAGGCCACCAUAUGGACAUUUCAAAGUCACCCAGUGGUGACGGGUGGGAAGUCUCCACCUUGAUGGAGGUGUCAACGGGCCAGGGCGGGCGAUGGAGGAGUGAUGAGAUGGGUUCAUGCGCACAGAGCCAGACCGUCAGGCCCACCCACCUCAAGCAGGAAUGUGGGAGUGUUAGCCCCGAGAGCCUGGUCAGGUGAGAGCAGCUUCGUAGGACCCUUGCAGCCCGGGGCGAGCAGGGGAGAAGGUGUCCUCUGCCUGUGGCUAAAGGCGUGCACAUCCUGGACUCCCUGAGAACCCGCAUGGGGCAGGAAUCCCGGCCUGGGGAUGUUUCAGCCCAGGUCCUGCCCAAGGGGGCCGCGUGCGGGUAAGAGGGGUCCACUGCUCUUCCGAGGACAGAGCUGGGGGCGGCAGAGGGAAGGCCUUGUCUGGUCUGGGGGUGCACAGCCGGCCCCCCCUGGACCAGUGGAGGAGGGGCUGCCUCACCGCCCCGCCUCCCCUGAGCCCACAGCGAGCGGGCGGGAGGGGUUUGCCCAGAAGAGCCCAGAGGCCCCUGCGUCGUCCAUUUACUUAUUCCUGAGCCUUUAGGGCUCUGUGGAACAAACGGGAUUUCUUCUUGGAUUGAUUCACGUUUGGCAUUUUAUGUGGCUUCCAAAAUGCGUGUCCCUCUUGUAUCAUUCUGUUCCCUCUGUCCUUACAUAUUUGGACCUAAAAGAAAAAUAAAAUUCAUGCAUUGUUCCC